UACGUAGGUGGCGAGCGUUGUCCGGAUUUACUGGGCGUAAAGGAUGCGUAGGUGGUAACUUAAGUGGGAUGUGAAAUCCCCGGGCUCAACCCGGGAACUGCAUUCCAAACUGAGUAACUAGAGUGCAGGAGAGGAAAGCGGAAUUCCUAGUGUAGCGGUGAAAUGCGUAGAUAUUAGGAGGAACACCAGUGGCGAAGGCGGCUUUCUGGACUGUAACUGACACUGAGGCAUGAAAGCGUGGGGAGCAAACAGG
rnacentral:rRNA from 1 species